rnacentral:lncRNA from 9 species
CCUGGUCCCACGGGACUCACAGUUCUUGGAAGCCGGCUCCCCGCCCCAAAGCACAGAUUGCUGACUGGAACACACACCCCGUUUUUUUCUGAGAAAGAAGCCUUUUUGCGCAUUCCAGGAGCUUCAGCCUGAGGGGCGAGCUUCUCGUCAGGAGAACCGCGUCGAGUCUGCAGGGUCCGGAGGAACGCCCCCAGGGCGUUGGACGGCCGCCAUCUUUCCGGCCCCGCGCUGCUGGGGCAGUUCGCCCUUCGCUGCAGUCGGGAGCUUCGACCGUCCGGUGGAGCCUGGAUUUUUACCUCUGAUGCAUAGGGGACCUCCAGACAGCCUGGCUCUGGUGGCUUUGGCCUGAGGUCGCACAGGGAUAUGUUUGUGUACUUUAAAAACUUGCCUGAGGCUGGGUAGCCCAAAUCAGGUGCGGAGACCUGAGCUUCCAGACGCUGGCGGGUCUGGGCACAGCCUCCACCGCCCUGGCCAAGGAACAAAACUGGCUGCAGUAGGAAAGUGAGCAUCCCUAAUCCUAAAUUGGAGAAGAAAUUGAUGUGAGAAGAGAAUGAUGUAGACGUACAGAAAGGUGUAGAUAGGAGACUAUGAAGUCUUAGAUCAUCUCCUUGAGAAACUCCAGCUCUCUGAGACCCAGCUACACCUGUUGUACUUCUUGCCAUGUGGUUAUCCAUGGUUCCUCUGUAGACUUCAGCUUAAGUCACCUUCACCUUAAACCAGCUGAAAUGACCCCCCGCUUCCUUUGCCGCAUGAUGACUAAGAUAUUCAAGAUACCAUUUGGUCCCUGAAUAUUUCUGCUGGCAGACUAUUUGGACUAAUACCGUGGAAUUCACAAUCUGGAAAAGCAGAGAGAAUCAUCACUGGUA